rnacentral:rRNA from 1 species
GAGAGUUAAACAGUACGUGAAAUUGUUGAAAGGGAAACGAUUGAAGCCAGUCGUACCUUCGGGUAAUCAGCCUUUCGGGUGCGAUUCUGUGGAGUGUGAGGAGCUUAAACACCUUCAUGUUUUGCAUAUUCGUGCACAUUUGGUGUACUUGUCCGUGUGGUGGGUUAACAUCAAUUUCGGUCGUCAUAAAAUGAUUGGAGGAAUGUAGCUUUGGUCUCGUAUCGAAGUGUUAUAGACUCUGGUAGAUGUGACGAUUGGGAUUGAGGAUUGCAACGGAUACCCUUCUGGGCUAUUCGUCUGAUCUCUGAAACGUUGCCUUGAUGUCGAAAGCUUGCUUAUGAUGUUAGGGUAUUACGGUCAAAAGGUUAGAACGGAUUAAAUUCGUUAAGGAUGUUGACGUAAUGACUUUAAACGA